rnacentral:rRNA from 1 species
UACGUAGGGUGCAAGCGUUAAUCGGAAUUACUGGGCGUAAAGCGUGCGCAGGCGGUUUUGUAAGUCUGACGUGAAAUCCCCGGGCUUAACCUGGGAAUUGCGAUGGAGACUGCAAGGCUAGAAUCUGGCAGAGGGGGGUAGAAUUCCACGUGUAGCAGUGAAAUGCGUAGAGAUGUGGAGGAACACCGAUGGCGAAGGCAGCCCCCUGGGUCAAGAUUGACGCUCAUGCACGAAAGCGUGGGGAGCAAACAGG